UCCUUUUCUCGAGUGGCAUUUAUGGAUUAUAUCCUUUUUCAAACAGUACGUGUAUUUGCUACUUUUACUCCACCAAAAUGACAAAAUUGCCCUUUGUCUAAAAUUCUGAAUUUACAACUGUUUAUCCUCUCAAACUCAUUUUCAUCGCUCCGAUUGAAAUCUCUUCGUCAAUUGCUAACGGAGAAAUCUUCCAACAUUGAAGCCCAGGUGAACACGAGCUCUCAAAGCCUCCUGCACAGCUAAAACAUGGAUCGACGCCGCCUUUAUGCUCAUCAACAAUAUGAACCUCGAGAUCGGACAUCACUCAUGGCCUCAAUCGAUUCUUUCAGUCGAAUUAUGUCGAUGGUGGUUGGGUCUGUGAUAAGCGCACACAACAUGUUCGAUGAAAUGCCCAAGAGAAACUAGGGAACUACAUUUACUAACCUUAGCUCAACCAAUAUCAGUCUUAAGGUUGCGGAGAGAAGCUGGACCAGUUUUAGUUAUGGUUUAGUAAUUAACUUCUGCUAUUAUAAUAUCACUAUCCGUUUAAUUUUGUUGCUUGGGUUCCCCUUUUCAAUAGUUCUUAGGGUUUAGUUUUAUUCAAUAUCAAUGUUUGUUUAAAUC